rnacentral:rRNA from 1 species
GACGAACCGUGCGAACGUUGUUCGGAAUCACUGGGCUUAAAGGGCGCGUAGGCGGCUUACCAAGUCCGGGGUGAAAGCUUUCGGCUUAACCGGAAAAGUGCCUUUGAUACUGGGAGGCUCGAGUCCGGAAGAGGUGAGUGGAACUGCGAGUGUAGAGGUGAAAUUCGUAGAUAUUCGCAAGAACACCAGUGGCGAAGGCGGCUCACUGGUCCGGUACUGACGCUGAGGUGCGAAAGCGUGGGGAGCAAACAGG